GAUACAAACUGAUUGAGUCGUCGUACAAAAACCUCUGACUGUACAGAGACACGGCUCUCUGACUUUGAACACAACAAACUCAACAACAACACUUCCUUCUUUUGAAAAGAAUUUACUAUUUAACAUUAUAGUUAUCAAACAGUGUCACAGUGUUUCAGAAUUAAUCACAUUUUUAGACGUUGUGAAAGAAAAUCUUUCUGCAGUCAUCAAAGCAAAUCCACAUGUAAAUGAUGAGUGACACAUUCCUGAUCAAUCCUCUGAUAAAUGUAUUGAUCCAUUGAUAAACAGCAUCAUCAGAGUAAUCCAAGUCCGUGUUGGAGUCAGUCAGAGCAUUUCCAUAGAGAGCCACUUUGCAUCAGCAGCACCAUGCUCCAGUGCUCUGGGAGAGUUUAUAGUCCUGAGAGUUGAACACUGGAUGACUGACAGCUGUCCUUCAUGACAACAGAAGCCACAGAAAUCCUCCUCUUCAUCAAAAACAUGACGUUGACCUCCGUCCUCAUCUGGACUCUCCUCUGCUGCUGCUUCACAGAGUCCAGAGGUCAGGUCACAGUGACUCAGCCUGGAGCAGUGAGCUCUGCUCUGGGAGGCUCCGUCACCAUCAGCUGUAGGAUCAGUCAGACGGUUUGGGGUUGUAGCAGUGCUUACUGUUUAAACUGGUAUCAACAGAAACAUGGAGAAACUCCUAAACUGCUGAUUCGCUACACGAAUGAGAGGAUGUCAGGGAUUCCAAGUCGUUUCUCAGGCAGUGGAUCAAACUCUGACUUCACUCUGACCAUCAGUGGAGUUCAGGCUGAAGAUGCAGCAGUUUACUACUGUCAAGGUGCUAACACUGUCAACAGUCAGAAUGUGUUCACACAGUGAAAAAGCAUCGCACAA